UACGUAGGGUGCAAGCGUUGUCCGGAAUUAUUGGGCGUAAAGAGCUCGUAGGCGGUCUGUCGCGUCGGCUGUGAAAACCUAAGGCUCACCCGCAGGCCUGCAGUCGAUACGGGCAGACUAGAGUUCGGUAGGGGAGACUGGAAUUCCUGGUGUAGCGGUGAAAUGCGCAGAUAUCAGGAGGAACACCGGUGGCGAAGGCGGGUCUCUGGGCCGAAACUGACGCUGAGGAGCGAAAGCGUGGGGAGCGAACAGG
rnacentral:rRNA from 1 species